AGUUUUAUAACCGUUUAUCCUAAGACAGCAGGUGCCUUUAUAGGCUCAAAUUGGCCUGCCGAGGUGUAACGCUUGCAUUGUUCGGUACUUAUUACCGAAUUAUAAUGUAUGCUGAGCCUUCGGCGAAAGCCGAAGGCUUUUUUGUUGGGGACC
rfam:[Clostridium] cellulosi genome assembly, chromosome: I